AUUGAACGCUGGCGGCAUGCCUUACACAUGCAAGUCGAACGGUAACAGGUCUUCGGAUGCUGACGAGUGGCGAAUGGGUGAGUAAUGUAUCGGAACGUGCCCAGUCGUGGGGGAUAACUACUCGAAAGAGUGGCUAAUACCGCAUACGACCUGAGGGUGAAAGCGGGGGACCGUAAGGCCUCGCGCGAUUGGAGCGGCCGAUAUCAGAUUAGGUAGUUGGUGGGGUAAAGGCCCACCAAGCCGACGAUCUGUAGCUGGUCUGAGAGGACGACCAGCCACACUGGGACUGAGACACGGCCCAGACUCCUACGGGAGGCAGCAGUGGGGAAUUUUGGACAAUGGGCGCAAGCCUGAUCCAGCCAUGCCGCGUGCGGGAAGAAGGCCUUCGGGUUGUAAACCGCUUUUGUCAGGGAAGAAACGGAUUUCUCUAAUACAGAGAUCUAAUGACGGUACCUGAAGAAUAAGCACCGGCUAACUACGUGCCAGCAGCCGCCGUAACAC
rnacentral:rRNA from 1 species